rnacentral:rRNA from 1 species
GAUGAACGCUGGCGGCGUGCCUAAUACAUGCAAGUCGAGCGAACAGAUAAGGAGCUUGCUCCUUUGACGUUAGCGGCGGACGGGUGAGUAACACGCGGAUAACCUACCUAUAAGACUGGGAUAACUUCGGGAAACCGGAGCUAAUACCGGAUAACAUAUUGAACCGCAUGGUUCAAUAGUGAAAGGCGGCUUUGCUGUCACUUAUAGAUGGAUCCGCGCCGUAUUAGCUAGUUGGUAAGGUAACGGCUUACCAAGGCAACGAUACGUAGCCGACCUGAGAGGGUGAUCGGCCACACUGGAACUGAGACACGGUCCAGACUCCUACGGGAGGCAGCAGUAGGGAAUCUUCCGCAAUGGGCGAAAGCCUGACGGAGCAACGCCGCGUGAGUGAUGAAGGUCUUCGGAUCGUAAAACUCUGUUAUCAGGGAAGAACAAAUGUGUAAGUAACUGUGCACAUCUUGACGGUACCUGAUCAGAAAGCCACGGCUAACUACGUG